ensembl:lncRNA PCA3 prostate cancer associated 3
AGUCAACGUUUGAUGGAGACAAAAUGUUGGAGCCUGCUCCUACCGGCAAAUAAACGGACUCAGGGUCUUCACGAAUAUGCAGCACAGCCAGCUGGGAUCCAGGCAGUCUGUUUUUGGUCUCAGCCUGGUUUCCCUCACUUCUUCGAUCAGGAAGUGCAGAAAGCACUAUCUCUGCUGCUCUGCAUCCCAGAGAUUCAUCCUCUGGAGACCCAGCUUCCUCUAUUGUUUCAGCACUCUGGGCAGGUUCUGUGAGAUAAGACAAAUCAAAGGGAGGUGUGUACGGUGCCAGCGACUGCUUCAGAGAAUCUUCCUCCAAAGGAGGGUCACCACCAUACAGGAAGUGUUCAGGCUCUCUCAGUAAAUCUUCAUCGAUAUUCUGGCCCAUUACAUCAUAUUCAAAAUCACCCCACGAGGCUUCAGAUGAGCAGAUAUCUUGCUUCCCUAGGUCCCCAUCAACUGGCGUUUCCGGAUGGCCUUCGGAUAAUGUCAGUUUACUCAUGUCAUCUAUUGUUCCCGUGGAUGUGUUGAGACCUGAGGCAUCGCUGAAACUGUGGUCAAAGGCAGCUUCGCUUAUAUCCAGACAAGUGUCUGAGGCUAGCAAAGCAUCAGGAACCAAGGCAGGAUUCUCUGUGGAUAAAUGUGGAUCACCAUCAAACAAAGCUCUUGCACCAGGCUGACUUUCAGGAGAAAAGCUGUCUGAUAUCCAAGAACCGUCACCUUCUGGAGUUGGCUCUUGUUCUGGAAGACGGAAAGUCCAAGAUCAAGAUCCUGACAUACUCGCUGUCUGAUGAGCACCUGCCUCCUGAUUCAUAGGCUGCCAUCUUUUUGCUGUGUCCUCACGUGACAGAAAAGGUGAGAAAUAAGAAAGGCUGCUGACUUUACCAUCUGAGGCCACACAUCUGCUGAAAUGGAGAUAAUUAACAUCACUAGAAACAGCAAGAUGACAAUAUAAUGUCUAAGUAGUGACAUGUUUUUGCACAUUUCCAGCCCCUUUAAAUAUCCACACACACAGGAAGCACAAAAGGAAGCACAGAGGUAAGUGCUUUAUAAAGCACUCAAUUUCUACUCAGAAAUUUUUGAUGGCCUUAAGUUCCUCUACUCGUUUCUAUCCUUCCUACUCACUGUCCUCCCGGAAUCCACUACCGAUUUUCUAUUUCUUGCCUCGUAUUGUCUGACUGGCUCACUUGGAUUUAUCCUCACGGAGUCUGGAUUUUCUACCCGGGCUCACCUCCGUCCCUCCAUAUUUGUCCUCCACUUUCACAGAUCCCUGGGAGAAAUGCCCGGCCGCCAUCUUGGGUCAUCGAUGAGCCUCGCCCUGUGCCUGGUCCCGCUUGUGAGGGAAGGACAUUAGAAAAUGAAUUGAUGUGUUCCUUAAAGGAUGGGCAGGAAAACAGAUCCUGUUGUGGAUAUUUAUUUGAACGGGAUUACAGAUUUGAAAUGAAGUCACAAAGUGAGCAUUACCAAUGAGAGGAAAACAGACGAGAAAAUCUUGAUGGCUUCACAAGACAUGCAACAAACAAAAUGGAAUACUGUGAUGACAUGAGGCAGCCAAGCUGGGGAGGAGAUAACCACGGGGCAGAGGGUCAGGAUUCUGGCCCUGCUGCCUAAACUGUGCGUUCAUAACCAAAUCAUUUCAUAUUUCUAACCCUCAAAACAAAGCUGUUGUAAUAUCUGAUCUCUACGGUUCCUUCUGGGCCCAACAUUCUCCAUAUAUCCAGCCACACUCAUUUUUAAUAUUUAGUUCCCAGAUCUGUACUGUGACCUUUCUACACUGUAGAAUAACAUUACUCAUUUUGUUCAAAGACCCUUCGUGUUGCUGCCUAAUAUGUAGCUGACUGUUUUUCCUAAGGAGUGUUCUGGCCCAGGGGAUCUGUGAACAGGCUGGGAAGCAUCUCAAGAUCUUUCCAGGGUUAUACUUACUAGCACACAGCAUGAUCAUUACGGAGUGAAUUAUCUAAUCAACAUCAUCCUCAGUGUCUUUGCCCAUACUGAAAUUCAUUUCCCACUUUUGUGCCCAUUCUCAAGACCUCAAAAUGUCAUUCCAUUAAUAUCACAGGAUUAACUUUUUUUUUUAACCUGGAAGAAUUCAAUGUUACAUGCAGCUAUGGGAAUUUAAUUACAUAUUUUGUUUUCCAGUGCAAAGAUGACUAAGUCCUUUAUCCCUCCCCUUUGUUUGAUUUUUUUUCCAGUAUAAAGUUAAAAUGCUUAGCCUUGUACUGAGGCUGUAUACAGCCACAGCCUCUCCCCAUCCCUCCAGCCUUAUCUGUCAUCACCAUCAACCCCUCCCAUGCACCUAAACAAAAUCUAACUUGUAAUUCCUUGAACAUGUCAGGCAUACAUUAUUCCUUCUGCCUGAGAAGCUCUUCCUUGUCUCUUAAAUCUAGAAUGAUGUAAAGUUUUGAAUAAGUUGACUAUCUUACUUCAUGCAAAGAAGGGACACAUAUGAGAUUCAUCAUCACAUGAGACAGCAAAUACUAAAAGUGUAAUUUGAUUAUAAGAGUUUAGAUAAAUAUAUGAAAUGCAAGAGCCACAGAGGGAAUGUUUAUGGGGCACGUUUGUAAGCCUGGGAUGUGAAGCAAAGGCAGGGAACCUCAUAGUAUCUUAUAUAAUAUACUUCAUUUCUCUAUCUCUAUCACAAUAUCCAACAAGCUUUUCACAGAAUUCAUGCAGUGCAAAUCCCCAAAGGUAACCUUUAUCCAUUUCAUGGUGAGUGCGCUUUAGAAUUUUGGCAAAUCAUACUGGUCACUUAUCUCAACUUUGAGAUGUGUUUGUCCUUGUAGUUAAUUGAAAGAAAUAGGGCACUCUUGUGAGCCACUUUAGGGUUC